UCUAUUCACUAUGUAAUUCAAGGAGAAUGAAAUACACAUAUUUGCAUCAAUGAAAGUGAAACAAUUUGAAUCCAGAUGCUGACGACCCUCAAUUGUGCUUCUUCAUAUUUAGUGUAAAUCCAAACAGCAACGCUCCUGAGUUUGUGUCCCACGUCACCUUCAGUCCGCUCAGAGCAGAGGAAUCAUUUCCAUAGAGAGGAGGCUUUGCAUCGUCAGCUGAUCCUCCACUGAACUGAGAAGCUUUAUAGUCCUGUGACUCCAACUCUGCAGGACUCAGACCCGUCAGUCGACCACAACCACCAUGACUCUCAUCACCCUCCUCAUCUGGACGCUGGCCUGCUGCAGCUUCACAGGAUGCAGCGGCCAGAUGACUGUGACUCAGCCUCCAGUCGUGACAUUUACUCCAGAAUCCACUGUCACACUGACCUGUAACACCAACCCCAGUUUUCAUAGUAGUGUUAUGUCCUGGUACCAGCAGAAACCUGGACAGGCUCCCAAGCUUCUCAUAUACCAAACAACAGUUCUAUAUUCAGGAACUUCCUCUCGAUUCAGUGGCAGUGGCUCUGGUUCUAGCUCCACCUUAACCAUCAGCGGUGUUCAGGCUGAAGAUGUUGGAGAUUAUUACUGUGCUGGUGGUGUUGGCGAUGGAAAGUUCACACAGUGAUUUAGAGCCGUACAAAAACCUCCCUCAGUUUGACUGAAGUGAAACUGGUCUGCUGCUGCUUCACAGAGAAUAACUGGUCCAGUGAACACAACACAAGUCUUCAAGCAGAGCGACAAUGAAGCUAAACACAACUGAAACAAACUCACAGUUUUAAAUGUUCAG